rnacentral:rRNA from 1 species
UGGGGAAUUUUCCGCAAUGGGCGCAAGCCUGACGGAGCAAUACCGCGUGAGGGAGGAAGGCUUUUGGGUUGUAAACCUCUUUUCUCAAGGAAGAAGUCCUGACGGUACUUGAGGAAUCAGCAUCGGCUAACUCCGUGCCAGCAGCCGCGGUAAUACGGAGGAUGCAAGCGUUAUUCGGAAUUAUUGGGCGUAAAGCGUCCGCAGGUGGUGCCUCAAGUCUGCUGUUAAAGAGUGGAGCUCAACUCCAUAAGGGCAGUGGAAACUGCAUAACUAGAGUACGUUCGGGGUAGAGGGAAUUCCUGGUGUAGCGGUGAAAUGCGUAGAUAUCAGGAAGAACACCGGUGGCGAAAGCGCUCUACUAGGCCGUAACUGACACUGAGAGACGAAAGCUAAGGGAGCGAAUGGGAUUAGAUACCCCCGUAGUCC